GCGGAUGUGGCGGAAUUGGCAGACGCGCUAGAUUCAGGUUCUAGUGGCCGCAAGGUCGUGGAGGUUCAAGUCCUCUCAUCCGCA
rnacentral:tRNA from 1 species